rnacentral:rRNA from 1 species
UACGGGGGGGGCAAGCGUUGUUCGGAAUUACUGGGCGUAAAGGGCUCGUAGGCGGCCAACUAAGUCGGACGUGAAAUCCCCAGGCUCAACCUGGGAACUGCAUCCGAAACUGGCGGUCUGGAGUAGUGGAGAGGAAAGCAGAAUUCCUGGUGUAGAGGUGAAAUUCGUAGAUAUCAGGAGGAACACCGGUGGCGAAGGCGGCUUUCUGGACACUUACUGACGCUGAGACGCGAAAGCGUGGGGAGCAAACAGG